rnacentral:rRNA from 1 species
CAUCGCCUACGGGGGGCAGCAGUGGGGAAUAUUGCACAAUGGGGGAAACCCUGAUGCAGCAACGCCGCGUGAAGGAAGACGGUUUUCGGAUUGUAAACUUCUGUUCUUAGUGAAGAAUAAUGACGGUAGCUAAGGAGCAAGCCACGGCUAACUACGUGCCAGCAGCCGCGGUAAUACGUAGGUGGCAAGCGUUGUACGGAAUUACUGGGUGUAAGGGGAGCGCAGGCGGGAAGCCAAGUCAGCUGUGAAAACUACGGGCUUAACUUGUAGACUGCAGUUGAAGCUGGUUUUCUUGAGUGAAGUAG